UGCCAGCCGCCGCGGUAAUACGGAGGGUGCAAGCGUUAAUCGGAAUCACUGGGCGUAAAGCGCACGCAGGCGGUUUGCUAAGUCAGAUGUGAAAGCCCCGGGCUCAACCUGGGAACUGCAUUUGAUACUGGCAAACUAGAGUAUGGGAGAGAGAAGUAGAAUUCCACAUGUAGCGGUGAAAUGCGUAGAGAUGUGGAGGAAUAUCAGUGGCGAAGGCGACUUACUGGAUUAUAACUGACACUGAGGCGCGAAAGCGUGGGGAGCAAACAGGAUUAGAUA
rnacentral:rRNA from 1 species